rnacentral:rRNA from 1 species
GACGAACGCUGGCGGCGUGCUUAACACAUGCAAGUCGAACGAAGUGGCGAACGGGUGAGUAACGCGUAAUCAACCUGCACUUCAGAGGGGGACAACAGUUGGAAACGACUGCUAAUACCGCAUACUGAAGGAGGGGAAUGCGUCUGAUUAGCUAAUUGGAGGGGUAACGGCCUACCAAGGCGAUGAUCAGGAGCCGGUCUGAGAGGAUUAACGGCCACAUUGGGACUGAGACACGGGCCAGACUCCUACGGGAGGGAGCAGUGGGGAAUCUUCCGCAAUGGACGAAAGGCUGGCGGAGCAACGCCGCGUGAGUGAUGACGGCCUUCGGGUUGUUAAGCUCUGUUAAUCGGGACGCGGUACCGGAAUAGAAAGCCACGGCUAACUACGUGCCAGCAGCCGCGGUAAUAC